rnacentral:rRNA from 1 species
UACGUAGGGGGCUAGCGUUGUCCGGAAUCAUUGGGCGUAAAGAGCGCGUAGGCGGCCAGAUAAGUCCGGUGUGAAAGUCAAAGGCUCAACCUUUGAAUGCCGCUGGAAACUGUCUGGCUAGAGUCCGGGAGGGGCGAGUGGAAUUCCUGGUGUAGCGGUGAAAUGCGCAGAUAUCAGGAGGAACACCUAUGGCGAAGGCAGCUCGCUGGGACGUGACUGACGCUGAGACGCGAAAGCGUGGGGAGCAAACAGG